rnacentral:rRNA from 1 species
UAAGUGGUGGAAAUUAAACCAACUGGGAUCUCUUCAGUAAUUGCGCAUGAACCAGGAUAUGCUUAGCUUGACAAAUGGAGCUGCUGGCUCUGAAUUGUAUUGUGGGAAUGUAUUACCAACAGAGGUGCAGGUCACACUCCUUGGCAUUGGAAUGCAGAGUGGGUGGUAAGUUUCAUGCAAAGGUAAAUAUGCAAUUGAGACUGAUAGCGCACAAGUACCAUGAGGGACAUAUGAAAAGGACUUUGAACAGAGAAUUAAAUGAGUUUGUAUUUGCUAAACACAAAGUAAACAGACUUGAUUUCCUCAGUGAGAUUGUAGUGCUUGCUUAACAAUGGGUUUUGGCUGCAAAUGCAAUAAUUAUUGCUUUGUGUGCCCGUUUUUAUGUGGACAUUUGAUUACCUUUGCACAUGAAUGGUAAUUUUCCUGCGGGGUGUGGAUUGCAUAUGCAUGUAAUGAUUUGCAUGUUUGUUAAAUGUGUCUGGUGUAUUUGUUUGUGUCCUUGUCCUUGAGGUUGCUUUCUCCCUUGGGCUUACAUGCCCUGGCACACACAUUCUGGCAAAAUGCUUCUGCUUGACCCG